AUUGAACGCUGGCGGUAGGCUUAACACAUGCAAGUCGUGCGAGAAAGUAUCUUCGGAUAUGAGUAGAGCGGCGGACGGGUGAGUAACGCGUAGGAAUCUACCUAGUAGAAGGGGAUAGCCCGGGGAAACUCGGAUUAAUACCGUAUACCUCCUUCGGGAGAAAGAAGGCCUCUCUUUGAAGCUUUCGCUAUUAGAUGAGCCUGCGUAAGAUUAGCUUGUUGGUGAGGUAAAGGCUCACCAAGGCGACGAUCUUUAGCGGGUCUGAGAGGACGAUCCGCCACAUUGGGACUGAGACACGGCCCAGACUCCUACGGGAGGCAGCAGUGGGGAAUAUUGGACAAUGGGCGCAAGCCUGAUCCAGCCAUACCGCGUGUGUGAAGAAGGCCCUAGGGUUGUAAAGCACUUUAAGUUGGGAAGAAAAGUUAUUGGUUAAUACCCAAUAACCGUGACAUUACCAUCAGAAUAAGGACCGGCUAAUUCCGUGCCAGCAGCCGCGGUAAUACGGAAGGUCCAAGCGUUAAUCGGAAUUACUGGGCGUAAAGCGCGCGUAGGUGGUUUAUUAAGUUGGAUGUGAAAUCCCCGGGCUCAACCUGGGAACUGCAUCCAAAACUGAUUCACUAGAGUACGAUAGAGGGAGGUAGAAUUCACAGUGUAGCGGUGGAAUGCGUAGAUAUUGUGAAGAAUACCAAUGGCGAAGGCAGCCUCCUGGAUCUGUACUGACACUGAGGUGCGAAAGCGUGGGUAGCGAACAGGAUUAGAUACCCUGGUAGUCCACGCCGUAAACGAUGUCAACUAGCUGUUGGAAAACUAUGUUUUUCAGUGGCGCAGCUAACGUAGUAAGUUGACCGCCUGGGGAGUACGGCCGCAAGGCUAAAACUCAAAUGAAUUGACGGGGACCCGCACGAGCGGUGGAGCAUGUGGUUUAAUUCGAUGCAACGCGAAAAACCUUACCUAUACUUGACAUACUUGGAAUGCUUUGUAAUGAAGCAGUGCCUUCGGGAGCCAAGAUACAGGUGCUGCAUGGCUGUCGUCAGCUCGUGUCGUGAGAUGUUCCGUUAAGUCGGAUAACGAGCGCAACCCUUACCCUUAUUUGCCAGCGAUUCGGUCGGGAACUAUAAGGGGACUGCCGGUGAUAAACCGGAGGAAGGUGAGGACGACGUCAAGUCAUCAUGGCCCUUACGUAUAGGGCUACACACGUGCUACAAUGGAGAAUACAGACGGACGCUAAGCCGCGAGGUGGUGCUAAUCCUAGAAAAUUCUUCGUAGUCCGGAUUGGAGUCUGCAACUCGACUCCAUGAAGUCGGAAUCGCUAGUAAUCGCGAAUCAGCAUGUCGCGGUGAAUACGUUCUCGGGUCU
rnacentral:rRNA from 1 species